rnacentral:rRNA from 1 species
AUGGCAACAACAAAGGAAUGGCACAGGGGAGAGAUCUAUGGUAUUACGGUGAAGACACCUGAUCAGCCAGAGGAGAGGCUCGAUCGAUCUCACUUGUGGCCCCACCGCCCGGGCAAGCUGCCGCAAAACCAUAGGGACGAUGGCUGGCUGGCGCAGGGGAUAUGGAAGAGACAUUGCCGGCGAAACGCGACGGCUGCCAAGAUCCGCGCCGCCUCGCCGCCGCGUUCGACGAGGGACCUCGGGCACGCAAGAUCCGCGACGCGCAGCCUCGCCGCCUAUCGAGAGUCUGAUUCGGAGAUGUGCGGGAUGCGGGCCAGCAUCGUGGGCGGUGGGGCGGACGCGCACCUCUACGACGACCCGGACGGCGCCGCCACCCCGGUGCUCCUCGACUCCCGUUUCGACGGCGACAAGCUCGACGCCCUCGAGCACCUUCUCGCCCUCAUCUCUCGGGGCGUAGACGUCGCCCACCUCUCCCCGCAGGUUCGGCUAGCGUCCCCCCUCCUCUCGUCUCGUCUCGUCUCACGCCGUGGAUUCAGGCGACGGAAUUGCGUAUGUGCUUGUUGCGCAGGCGGCCACGAACUUGGCGGCUUAGUCGCUUGA